UACGUAGGUCCCGAGCGUUAUCCGGAUUUAUUGGGCGUAAAGCGAGCGCAGGCGGUUAGAUAAGUCUGAAGUGAAAGGCUGUGGCUUAACCAUAGUAUGCUUUGGAAACUGUACAACUUGAGUGCAGAAGGGGAGAGUGGAAUUCCAUGUGUAGCGGUGAAAUGCGUAGAUAUAUGGAGGAACACCGGUGGCGAAAGCGGCUCUCUGGUCUGUAACUGACGUUGAGGUUCGAAAGUGUGGGUAGCAAACAGG
rnacentral:rRNA from 1 species